rnacentral:rRNA from 1 species
AUUGAACGCUGGCGGCAGGCCUAGCACAUGCAAGUCGAGCGGAUGAAGGGAGCUUGCUCCUGGAUUCAGCGGCGGACGGGUGAGUAAUGCCUAGGAAUCUGCCUGGUAGUGGGGGAUAACGUCCGGAAACGGGCGCUAAUACCGCAUACGUCCUGAGGGAGAAAGUGGGGGAUCUUCGGACCUCACGCUAUCAGAUGAGCCUAGGUCGGAUUAGCUAGUUGGUGGGGUAAAGGCCUACAACGGCGACGAUCCGUAACUGGUGUGAGAGGAUGAUCAGUGACCUUGGAAGUGAGACACGGUCCAGACGCCUACGGGAGGCAGCAGUGGGGAAUAGUAGACAGUGGGCGAAAGCCUGAUCCAGCCAUGCCGCGUGUGUGAAGAAGGUGUUCGGAUUGUAAAGCACGUUAAGUUGGGAGGAAGGGCAGUAAGUUAAUACCUUGCUGUUUUGACGUUACCAACAGAAUAAGCACCGGCUAACUUCGUG